GUCAGGAGUGAUGGUGCACACCUUUAGUCCCAGGUACUCAGGAGUUCUGAGCUGCAGUGGGCUAAGCUGUUUGGGUGUCUGUACUAUGCUCAGCAUUAAUAUGGUGAAUAUUCAGGAGCAGAAGGCCACCAGAUUGCCUGAGGAGGGGAGAACUGGCCCAGGUUGUAAACACAGCAUGUCAGAUUUCCUACGUUCAUUAAAAUAGGACUAGGCCUGUAAAUAUCCCCUGUUCUUCCAGCCUGGAUGAAAUGGGGU
rnacentral:SRP_RNA from 1 species